rnacentral:rRNA from 1 species
UAGGGAAUCUUCGGCAAUGGACGAAAGUCUGACCGAGCAACGCCGCGUGAGUGAAGAAGGUUUUCGGAUCGUAAGACUCUGUUGGUAGAGAAGAACGUUGGUGAGAGUGGAAAGCUCAUCAAGUGACGGUAACUACCCAGAAAGGGACGGCUAACUACGUACCAG